rnacentral:rRNA from 1 species
UACGUAGGGGGCUAGCGUUGUCCGGAAUCAUUGGGCGUAAAGAGCGUGUAGGCGGCCCGGUAAGUCCGCUGUGAAAGUCGGGGGCUCAACCCUCGAAUGCCGGUGGAUACUGUCGGGCUAGAGUGCGGAAGAGGCGAGUGGAAUUCCUGGUGUAGCGGUGAAAUGCGCAGAUAUCAGGAAGAACACCCGUGGCGAAGGCGGCUCUCUGGGACGGUACUGACGCUGAUGUGCGAAAGCGUGGGGAGCAAACAGG